UUUUCUGGCUAAGUUUUCAACCUGUUUUAACCUACUCCUAAUGCAUAACUCCCGCCCCCACCCAAAAAAAAAAAGAAAAAAGAAAAAGAAAGAAAGGUGUAAGUUCCCUGGUGAUUGUAGCGUGUGCUAAAAGCAAUGUCAUUCUUUAGUACAUUAGCCAGAAAAGUAAAAUUAGCAGAUGUCAACCACUAGAAGGACAAGUCCAGUGAGGCGGUGCGGAGGGAGCUUUAGGCUGGUGUCAGACAGGCAGGCUGAUGAGGGAGCAUCAGGCAGACUUCCAGCAAUCCCUACGUGGCAGUGCUCACCACAAGGGCCGUUUCCCUGGCAAAAAUCCCCUCCCUGCUUCCAAGUACAUUAGACACUGGAGCAGGUGACACUUUCUUUCAUCUGUUGGUUGCUUGUUUUGCUAGGGGGAGAAGGCCGGUUCCUUAUUCCCUUGCUUCAGCAAAGAAAGUUACUUCUGCACAGGCUUUGCUGCACUUUUCCAGCACUGGAUGAGAUUCCCAUACACUUUUAGCUUUGCAGGCCUCCAGUAGGAACUGCAAAGGCAUUGUGCGCUAUUUCCUCCUUUUCUGUGUCAGGGCUUUAGAGAACUACAAGCCUUGUUUUCUCCAGGGAAUGUUGCUUGCUGCUAGUAGCCAAGGAGGAAUAUGGAAUUCAGAGCCAUAUGCAGUAGGCUUGAAUUAGCCCUUUUUUCCAUUUAACGGGAGUGACUUAGAAUCCCUUUGCUGUGCAAGCUGAUGAUUUCUCCUGAGUAGAGCAGGUUGGCUGUAGAUGUGAAAAGCAAGAAAGUUGGAAGUGAUAAGUAACGGCCUGUCCCUUGUGCUUGUCUCUUUGCACAGAGCCCAGAAGCAAGAGCAGUUUCAGCCCUGGCUCCCUCUGCACCUGGAGAGGGAGCCAAAGAGGGGGAAACUGAGCAAGAGGAGCAGAAGAGUGGAGCUGUGCUCACCGAAGAGGUGGAGCCAUCCCAGACAUGCAUCAAGGCAGAGCCACGAGCAGAGUUGCCUGAAGCUCAGGAUAACAUUGUGGUAGUGAAGAGGAAGCACGAAGAAGACACAAGAACCAUCCAAGACAAGACGAGAGUUCAUCAGCAGAAGGGCAAUCAACAAGACCAGGAAAGUGAAAGAGUGGCAGCCACUCCAUUCACAAAACUUCCACUCUCUUGCUUUUUACAAGACAUCAAGGAAAAGCUGCAAGCCCGGCUGCAUGAAACCAAAGCUAAGUUCAACGCAAGGGAGAAGUUGAUGGAGGAAGAAAUGCAAACUAUCAGAGAGAAAUUUAGUCCCCUCCCUCAGACUCUACAGAAGCAAGUGGAAGUGUUGACAUCUCACGAGCCAGGUUGCGAAGGCUUCCAACAAAUGAGUGGAGAUGAAGAGUCCCGAGGUGGAUGUGAGGCACAAGAACGGCCAAAAUCAGAGAAGAUCUACACAGGCUCUGUCACUGAAGGUGCUGCAGGAGGCUCCUGCAGCCUCUGUAAAGAGGCAUUUGUUCCCCAACCUGAGAAGCGGAGCCCAGGCAGAUUGUUCAUGCCCAGCACUGAUACAGCUGCUGCUCAGCAACACAAGAGCAAGGAUGACUCCCUGGAGCUACUGAGUAUGUCUUGUGUAUUUCUUGUCCAAGGGACAGUGUACUGUGUGCAUGUGCCAGCAAAGCUGUAACAAAUGAUCCUCCACAGUUUGAUGUCACAGGGACAUUUUGGACUCCCCACAGGAACUGCUGUAGAGAAUGAGACUCUGUGCUGCCCGUCUGUCUGUGCUGCAGAGCUGUCUGUGUGGUUGCUGUUGCUGUUACCCAGCCACAAAGGGUUCAGAGCCCCAGGCACUGGGGCUGCCUUUUGUAUCUCCUGGAAGCUGGGAUCUCUGCUUUAAAGUGAGCAUCUUGCAUUUUGUUUCCCUCAGGAAAAAUGGUGAACAUGGAAAAUCCCAGGACGAAGUAUACUGAACUGGAAAAUAUUGGCAGUGGGUGAGUCCAACCCCAGUUACUUCUCCAAAACCAUGGGCCAGGUGGUUUCACUGGUGGAAUAUCUACCAAGUAUGAAGACAGACAAGCUGCAAACAUGUUCAGACACUGGGGAUAGAUUGUCCCAUCUCUCUCAGUGCUGGCUCAAAUUGGCAAGUGUGGUCAGAAAACAUUGUCAAAGACAUCUCCAUGCUGCCAUGGUCUUGCCUGCAGCAGGAGGAGGACGUGGAAGAAGACAGCCGUGUCUCUCAAGUGUGGGACAGCUCUGUGGUAAUUUCUUUAGCGUUUUUGCAUAUCUCCAAAUCAUACAUCCACACUAAUAAAAGGAGAAAAAGCUAC
rnacentral:lncRNA from 1 species